rnacentral:rRNA from 1 species
GAAGAUGCAGUGUACCCGCGGCAAGACGGAAAGACCCCGUGAACCUUUACUAUAGCUUGACACUGAACAUUGAGCCUUGAUGUGUAGGAUAGGUGGGAGGCUUUGAAGUGUGGACGCCAGUCUGCAUGGAGCCGACCUUGAAAUACCACCCUUUAAUGUUUGAUGUUCUAACGUUGACCCGUAAUCCGGGUUGCGGACAGUGUCUGG